AGUCACUACAUUGGGGGUGACUGCGGAGCUGAAUGGCAGGAAGUCAAGAGAGUGUCCAGCGCUCACACUCUGCAGAGGUGAUAUAAGCAGCACUAACUGUGGUCUGGAGUCCCCUGCUCACACAUCUCCAUUCCUGGGGCACCAUGAAGAAUUAAUUUGGAUAAUGAUAUCUACUUUGAGAUUCCUCCUACUCUGCCUGCUCUUUGACGGAGGCUUCAUAGCAGAGGAUAACUGCUGGCAGAUUAUGUUUGACUCCUAAUUCUGAAGCGGUAAACUCAAGAGGAUUUGUCAGUUGGUCCAUCUCACCACCGUGUCUUCUACUUUUGGAGCUCCUGGAUUUUCCUCCUGUUGAUCGCCAUGGCUGUGUUUGUGUCUAUUCUCUUGGGACCCACUUGCUGCUUGUCUCCCAGAAUCAAAAUUAAGAUCUCAGUCAAAGCUCCUGUGGGGACUGGAUGACUCAGAACAGUCAGGGGAUGGGAUAUGGAGCUUUUCAUCUCUUGGUCUCCAGUUUCACUGUAGCCCCAGGUCAGGAAGUCUGGGUAGCUCAGUAUGAUUACAGAAUGGAAUAUGAUUGGUCCUGCUUUGAGCAGGGGGUUGGACUAGAUGACCUCCUGAGGUCCUUUCUAAUCCUGAUAUUCUAUGAUUCUAUGAUCUAUGACUAAACCAUUUUGAUUGGAGUCAUGGGAGCCUAAAUUAGUAGAGCUGCACAGGUACUAGAAUUUUUGCUUUGUGAAAAAUUUCAAAAUUUGUUUUCAUUCUAAAUCAGAAUUUUCCACAGAACACAACUAGAAUGUUUCAUUUCA